ACGAACGCUGGCGGCGUGCCUAAUACAUGCAAGUUGAGCGCUGAAGGUUGGUACUUGUACCAACUGGAUGAGCAGCAAACGGGUGAGUAACGCGUGGGGAAUCUGCCUUUGAGCGGGGGACAACAUUUGGAAACGAAUGCUAAUACCGCAUAAAAACUUUAAACACAAGUUUUAAGUUUGAAAGAUGCAAUUGCAUCACUCAAAGAUGAUCCCGCGUUGUAUUAGCUAGUUGGUGAGGUAAAGGCUCACCAAGGCGAUGAUACAUAGCCGACCUGAGAGGGUGAUCGGCCACAUUGGGACUGAGACACGGCCCAAACUCCUACGGGAGGCAGCAGUAGGGAAUCUUCGGCAAUGGACGAAAGUCUGACCGAGCAACGCCGCGUGAGUGAAGAAGGUUUUCGGAUCGUAAAACUCUGUUGGUAGAGAAGAACGUUGGUGAGAGUGGAAAGCUCAUCAAGUGACGGUAACUACCCAGAAAGGGACGGCUAACUACGUG
rnacentral:rRNA from 1 species